rnacentral:rRNA from 1 species
GAUGAACGCUAGCGACAGGCCUAACACAUGCAAGUCGAGGGGCAGCACAAGGAGCAAUCUGAGGUGGCGACCGGCGCACGGGUGAGUAACACGUAUGCAACCUGCCUGUAAGCGGGGAAUAACCCGUUGAAAGACGGACUAAUACCGCAUAAUACUAAAUUACUGCAUGGUAAUUUAUUUAAACAUUUAUGGCUUACAGAUGGGCAUGCGCAUGAUUAGCUAGUUGGAGAGGUAACGGCUCCCCAAGGCAACGAUCAUUAGGGGUUCUGAGAGGAAGGUCCCCCACACUGGUACUGAGACACGGACCAGACUCCUACGGGAGGCAGCAGUGAGGAAUAUUGGUCAAUGGACGAGAGUCUGAACCAGCCAAGUCGCGUGCAGGAAGAAUGUCCUAUGGAUUGUAAACUGCUUUUGCAGGGGAAUAAAGUGCAUCACGUGUGAUGUUUUGUAUGUACUCUGCGAAUAAGGAUCGGCUAACUCCGUG